GACGUAGGGGGCGAGCGUUGUCCGGAUUUAUUGGGCGUAAAGAGCUCGUAGGCGGUCUGUCGCGUCUGCUGUGAAAACUCGGGGCUUAACCCCGGGCCUGCAGUGGGUACGGGCAGACUAGAGUGCGGUAGGGGAGACUGGAAUUCCUGGUGUAGCGGUGAAAUGCGUAGAUAUCUGGAGGAACACCGGUGGCGAAGGCGGCAUCCUGGACCAACACUGACGCUGAGUGAGCGAAAGCCAGGGGAGCAAAGCGGG
rnacentral:rRNA from 1 species